AUUGAACGCUGGCGGCAGGCCUAACACAUGCAAGUCGAACGCGUGGCGGACGUGUGAGUAAUGUGUGGGAAACUGCGCGAUGGAGGGGGAUAACUACUGGAAACGGUAGCUAAUACCGCAUACUAUCGGAUGCGCCCAGAUGGGAUUAGCUAGUAGGUGGGGUAACGGCUCACCUAGGCGACGAUCCCUAGCUGGUCUGAGAGGAUGACCAGCCACACUGGAACUGAGACACGGUCCAGACUCCUACGGGAGGCAGCAGUGGGGAAUAUUGCACAAUGGGCGCAAGCCUGAUGCAGCCAUGCCGCGUGUAUGAAGAAGGCCUUCGGGUUGUAAAGUACUUUCAGCGAGGAGGCGUUACUCGCAGAAGAAGCACCGGCUAACUCCGUGCCAGCAGCCGCGGUAAUAC
rnacentral:rRNA from 1 species